rfam:Gossypium raimondii Chr05_contig_791, whole genome shotgun sequence.
AAUUCGUGGUGCAGGCAUUUUUGGAUCAAUGUCUUAAAACGUUCCCAAGCCUCAUGAAACCUUUCCCUUUCUAAUUGUCUAAAUACAACAAUUUCUCUUCUCAAUU